GGGGAUGUGGCUCAGUGGGAGAGCACUUGCUUGGCAUGAGCCAAGGCCCUGGGUUUGACACCCAGUAUCACCA
rnacentral:tRNA from 1 species